CAUUGAGUGUGCGGUGCGGAAAUGUUAUCAGAAUUAGAAUAGUUAUUCUGCUAAUAUUAGCAUAAUAGACCGGCUGUAUAUAUAUUUGUAUCACGGCGUCCCUAUGUAGGCCCGAUCAGUCUUUCCCGAGAUCCACAGAAAACCAACUGCGCCGGCCCGUCCCGAUCCCAGAAUCCCCACGGCGGCGCGGAUCCACCCCCAACCCACCUCCAGCCCCCGGCUCCGGCGACGCGCCUCUCGCCGACGACCCUGCCGGCCCGACGCGCCUCUCGCGGCCGCCGCCCCAGCCCCGGCGCGCCUCUCGCGGCCACCGCCCCAGCCCUGGAGCGCCUCCCGGCGCCGGGCCCCAUCCCCAGCGCACCUCUUUCCAUUCCCAAAUCGCCUCCCGCCGCCGCCCUCGAUCCCCACCACACCCCCACCGCCGCACAUUCGCCGGCCACUGCAUCCCCUGGCUCGGCUGCACACGACCGGGAUCCCCCAUCUCCCAGCUAACCUUGCAGCUGCACGCCUUCUCGCUCGUCCUAAGGUUGGGCGUUAUGUGAACUGCGGACGGAUCAGUGGUUGGACCAGCAGCAGUUUACUGUACCAACGCGGUUGAUCCCACCUGGCACACGUUCGUCUCUGUCGACGGCGGUCAGCACGUCAAAAACAUGACAGACCCACCCCUAGCUUCUGUUGCUUCCACGGCAACUGCUCAUGCGCACCUCGAACGCAUAACGAGCUGUCCCCUGGUUCUUCUUCUGCUCAUGGAGUUGGAGCGUGCUGCAACUUCCUUUCAUUUCUGAAACUCAUAUCCCUCCAAUUUAGUCCACGUAUUAUUCUUGUAGGUAGAUUUGAACAAUCUAAAACUGGAAAAAGAAUGCGUCAGUAUAGCUACUCAUUAGAAAAUGGUCAAGUGUAUGUUGCUUUUGUGGUUUUUGUGUGUGCUCGUAUUUGCAUAAUUUACCUCAAAUGAAAAUUCA